CCCUUGGGGAAGAAUGACAUCCAAUCAUACCCCAGAAAUUUAUGCUGCGUGACUGUUGAAAGAAAGCGGCAACACCAGGGUGGAAAUCCUGGACUUCUGGAAGUUUGGCUCACCAUUUUGUUGGGAUGCGUGACCCCUCCUUUUUGGUGGAACCGACGAUCAGCUUGUCCCCUUCCCUCUGUCCUGGGUGGAACAUAAAACCCAGCUGGAACCAGUGAGCGGCUCCCACCUUCCAGGGCAGAUCCUGAGAUGGGAGACAGAAAGAUCUGCAAAUGGCAUGCCGGCCGGACCACAUCU